UGUGUAGGCGGUUGUUUAAGUUUGGUGUGAAAUCUCCCGGCUCAACUGGGAGGGUGCGCCGAAUACUGAGCGACUCGAGUGCGGGAGAGGAAAGUGGAAUUCCUGGUGUAGCGGUGAAAUGCGUAGAUAUCAGGAGGAACACCGGUGGUGUAGACGGCUUUCUGGACCGUAACUGACGCUGAGACGCGAAAGCGUGGGUAGCAAACAGGAUUAGAUACCCUGGUAGUCCACGCCCUAAACGAUGCAUAUUUGGUGUGGGCAGUUCAUUCUGUCCGUGCCGGAGCUAACGCGUUAAAUAUGCCGCCUGGGGAGUACAGUCGCAAGGCUGAA
rnacentral:rRNA from 1 species